CCACCUCCGAGGAGGCAUGCGCAGUCACGAACCGGAGAAGGAGGGUAGGAGAGUACGUUUCCCUUCGGCCCCGCCUACAAGAGGUUUGAUUGACGGGUGUUCCAAGAGAAUGCCUGUGAGGUCUUGUUUUUCAGAUUUUUACACGUUAUCCUGACGCAUUCUCAAGUGAAAUCUGAAGUAUAACUGUUGAGAUGGAAACAACAGUCUUGUUUCAAACAUCACAGACCAUGUUGUAUUCCAGAGGAAAGAAAGGGCCAGCUUUAAAUUCCUCUUGCAGAAAUGACGAGGAGGGACUAGGUGAGCAAAUGCCUGAGCAGGAAGAUUGAAGAAUGAAGAGAGGAGCAUGGCGGUUCAUCCCCAGCCUGAUCUUGGAUGACUUCUGAAACAAU